rnacentral:rRNA from 1 species
CGUUCCCGGGUCUUGUACACACCGCCCGUCACACCAUGGGAGCGGGUUCUGCCAGAAGUAGUUAGCCUAACCGUAAGGGGGGCGAUUACCACGGCAGGGUUCGUGACUGGGGUG